rnacentral:rRNA from 1 species
AUGGCCGUUCCCUUGCCUUCCUCCUCUACGCCACCUGCUCGCCGGCAGGGCCUCGUCCCUACCUCCGGUGCGCCAAGUUUGUCGUCAUCCUCCCCCUUGCUGUUGCUGCUCCUCGUAGGUCUUCCUGGUGCCCUCGUCUCUGCUCGCGGGAGGACGAGUGCGACCGCUGCUUCGAUCUGCGAUGCGCGAGACCCCUUGGCCUUGCUGUGA